UGGCGUCCGAGGAUUCAGGAACGCACCAGUAGAUACCGCUCCCGUCUCAGGGGAAAAUGAGGGAAUGAUGCAAGAGCAUUCAAAAAUAUGACUGGCUUUCUAACGAUAAAAAGCUUAAUGCAAAUGGGUCAAGUGUCACUAUAUUUUCUAUAUAUGUUUUAAAUCAGUGUAGGCUAUGCUAGUAUGUUCGCCCAUGAUUAAAUAAAUGUUUAGGCCGAGUAGACCGAGUGCAGUGAGGUUUACCGGAUGACGCGAUAAACAAAGAUGGCUGCGCCCGUAGUGAUUGAGUUUAGAUUUAUUUUCUUAGCAUUUAUACCACGUUGUUUAUUUUAAUGUCGAUUUGAAAUGAUCGUAUACACUUGAAUACAUUUCUGCUUUAAUCCGGUCACCGAUUUAUGCAUUGCACGGUUUUUUGGGGCAUGCAAUUCAAGGUAAAUGUUUGUUUUCAAGCUGGUUUGCUAUAAAGGCUAAUGUAGCAAACAAUAUUUACAUCCUGGUACGGCUCUUCGUGCCUCAGGGAAACAGCGAAAGCACAUUUUUUUGGGAAUUGAAAUAGGCGAAAAUAACAAAAUAUUAGUGAUCGGAGUUGCUUGAAAUGUUAAGUUUAUACCUGAUGAAUGUUCAGGAAAUCUUUGCAAUCCAUUUCAGGUUUUGUUACAUUAUGCAAGUGGUUAUAAAUUCUUAAUCUUUCAAACCUAGACUUUCUCGACCUCUCUUAUUAUUUCCCCCCCGAAUAUCCGAUUCUGGGUUUUUAUCGACAACAGAGUAAAAUAUGUUAACAAAUAUGUCACUCUGCGGCCCAACUUUGGAAGAACAGCUUUCGUCCAUAAUUGACGUACUUGCGAAAGCUGCUGUAUCAGAAAUUAGCCAACUGUUCUCGGAAGGCUCGGCUACCCUUCGAUUACAAACAACUCGGAGCCUGAAAGAAAACCAAGCGCUGAGGAUGAGGAUGAAGGUGAUGAGGAGUGAGCUGUUUUCUUUGCGGCUUCAAACGAGAUCAAAUGCAUCGUCUGCGGCCAUUCGUUUGGCUUUGGCUCGAGCCAACACCUGCAAACCAAAUGAUGACUGCAGUGACUUUGGAGACCGCAGCACACAGCGCGACGCCAUCUCAGAGACUCUUAACACCCCUGGCUCCUCCCACAUGUCCAGUCACAGCGAGGAGCUGAGGAUCCUGAGUGUCUAUGGAAAAGGGGAGGGCCCACUGGCGCUGGACUGCAAUGGCACACUCUUCAACUUGUCCGAACUGGAGGCCCUGAACUCUCUGUCUGCAGACCACAGCGUGGCCAAGAGCCUGGAGCGCGGCGAGGAGCUGGUCCACCGUGAGGAGCUGACUGUGCAGCAGACCCCAGACACCAUUUUAAUCAAAGAUGAAGAGGAUAUUGGUGGGGGCAUGCCAGCUGUAGAAGGCUGGGCUGAAUUUGGAGACUGCAGCACACAGCACAGCGCCACCUUAGAUAGUCUGCAUGUGGACGCUCCUGGCUCCUCCCACAUGUCAAGUCACAACGGGGAGCUGAGGAUCCUGAGUGUCUAUGGAAAAGGGGAGGACCCACUGGCGGUUGAUGGCCAUGACAACCUCUUCACCGGACCUGAGGCUCUGAGCUCGCUGUCCGUAGAACACAGUGUGGCAAAGAGCCUGGAGCGCGGCGAGCAGCUGGUCCACCGUGAGGAGCUGACCGGGCAUCGGGGCGGCGGCAAGGACCGGCCCGGUGUGUUGUCUGGAGAGGUGUGUUCUCAUUUCCACAAUGGCGAGAAGCCGUACGGGUGCGACCAAUGCACGAAGCGCUUCCAACUGAAAGGCAGCCUGAAGAUCCACAUGAGGACUCACUCCGGGGAGAAGCCGUACAGUUGUGACCAAUGCGUGAAGCGCUUCAGUCAGAGCUCCGACCUGAAGGUCCACAUGUGGACUCACUCCAGGGAGAAGCCUUACUGGUGUGACCAAUGCGGUAAAGGCUUCAGUAAGAGCUCCAACAUGAAGAUCCACAUGAGGACUCACUCCGGGGAGAAGCCCUACAGGUGUGUUCAAUGCAUGAGGAGCUUCGGACGGCUUUCCACUCUGAAGAGCCACCUGAGGACUCACUCCGGGGAGAAGCCCUACAGUUGUGACCAAUGCUUGAGGCGCUUCAGACAGAGCUCCACUCUGAAGUACCACAUGAGUACUCACUCCGGGGAGAAGCCCUGAAGGUGCAAUGCCAGCUUCAGCGUCCCAAACAAAGAGCCAAUUGGGAGCUUUGACACGGGGCAACGGGACGCUUUGAUCGUCGCCAUUAUUUUUUUGCUUUAUUAAAGGUUCCAUGGCAUGUUACUUUAUGGAUGCUUUUAUAUAGGCGUUAGUGGGCCCCUAAUACAGUACUGGAAGACGUUCAAGAAAUUCAGCCUUUGUGCAGAAAAACAGCCACUACGAGGCAGUCCCACCAUUUGUUUUCCACAAACGUGCCGUUUUUUUAGAGGCAGGUCAGGGUGGAGGCUGGGGGUGUGGCCUUGAGCAGCUUGCGGCCACGCUACCAUGCUCUCGUGGACUGGAGUUACAAGCUGUCAAACGAGAGACUACGUUACGUCACGAAGACCUGUCCAAUGCAUGACUUUUGUUACAUACAACAAGUAAAAUACAUCGGCCACAUUUGUCGUGUAGAUAACUCAGUUACAAAACCAGAUGCUAUUUGAUCGCAGAAUGCCCAAAACCAUCUGUAACAAACUAGAAAGGAUAUUCGGUAUGGACAUAUUACAAAUACAAAGAACUUUGAUGAAGAGAAAUGAACUGAUGCGAGUGCUGGACCAUAUGUUCAGACAGGAGCACCCCAAGGCCACUAGUGUGCCAAGAGGGGAAAAAGUGAUUGUGUUUACAGUGGAUGUAUCCCAAUGGCGUGGCGCAUACAGAUUUUGUUCAUGUUCUGUGAAUAUUCUAGAACCCUCCGGCUACUCCGGCCGGAGUCCUGGCGCUCUAUAUCUAAAUAGUAUCAUAUUAUACAUAGAUAUCUAUCAUAUAAUAUAUAUUAUCAUGGGCAAAAGCUGUGUGUGCCUCCAGACGAUAUUAUGAAUCUCAAACGGCUGCAUCGGUUUCUCUGACGUCUGGUUCUUCCACUUCCACAUCAAUCUGAAGUAGACUGAACCACGUCAUGGAGGAGAAAGGGAUUGUUUCCCGCGAUUGACUCCCGCCGGAGCCCCGCUGCCGAGGCGUGCUGCCUCGGUAGAAAGCAGUGGGCAGUGGGGCUCCGGCGGGAGACAAUCGCGGGCAACAAUCCCUUUCUCCUCCAUGUCGUGGUAUCAAGUUCUUCUCGGAGUCAAAGCCAAAGUUCCUUUCCCCCAAUUCCUUCUCAACCAUGGAUGAUAUAACCCCCACUACGAGACUUACUACCAGAGACGUCAGAGAACCCGACGUGUUAUGUGCCAUAACACCAACAGAACGGUUAUCCAAAUAACAAAGAAGUGUACAACACCUGCGUUACAGUGUGUGUAUUCACACACACACACACACACACGUGGUGCUCGCAUGGUCGUAUUGUCUCAUUGGAGGGCCACAUUCUCUUGGCUGGCAAAGCAGAGGGAGGAAAAUUCCAAACCGGCGCGUCUUUUUUAAAGGCAGAGCAGGAUAGCUAGUCCUCGUUUUACACCUAACGCCAUUUCUAGCCACUGGGGGAAUGGGGGACAUAUUAAUGUUAGAAAACCUCAUAAAGUGACAUUUUCAUGCCAUGGGACCUUUAAAGACUCUUUCCCACUUUUCAUUCGCCUUCUGAUUUUAUUGUUUGAAAUUUAUGUGUGUGUGAUGAAUAGUCGCUUGUUUUUUGGACACUUCGGAAUACCAAAUAUCUGAGUUAAAUUUAGAGCAUGAUCAUGGGAAGAUACAGGAAGCAAAGUUACCAAGCAUACAUUCAACGAGACAAAGGGUGUACAUGAUUCUUGUAGGCAAUUUCACAUUGUGGGUUAAUACAAAGGUGAGGGGGAGUGACCAUCGUGGAGAUUUUAGGAUUGCCCAGAGGAGAGACCAAGUUCAAUUUAAGUACACUGGGUGAAGUGGACGUGGCUGCAAGACAGUUAAAGGAAUCUACAAAACAAAUAAGUCAGUGGACUGGCCUCAGUAUCAGACUUCGCGGCUACAGUUGCAAUGCAAAUGCAACAAAACCUUUCAAAUAGAGAUGACGGGAGCGGGAGGUAUCUCUAGGUCCAAGGAGAAUGUAUCGAAAUCCCUUUCAAUUGUCUACAUACAAUAUAUAAUUGUAUAUUAUAGUUUGUCUUUGUCUUUCUUAAGUUUUAUUCUUUCGUACUUAUUCUCAACAAACUUUGGGAUCCUGCUCCUUCCACAAUUUUCCCCUGAGAGACUACAUUCAAAUUUUAAAAUGUUAAGAUCAGCUUGGAAUCGCGUGCUUCUAUUCAGAUUAUUCUUCUCUGAUGCUUCAACUUCUUCAGACUAACUGUUAAUCUUCUUUUAGACAUUGAACAAAUUAUGACAUUUGUAACUUCAAAAAUAUAAACAGUACAAUAAAAAAUAAUAUAUACAUUUUUAUUAUCAUUUAUACGUUCAUAAUACAUAAUAUAUAUUAUAAUAUUGCGAUUGUGAUUAUUUCUUUUAAAAUUACCUAGUGUUCUGCAUUAUUCACUGAACAAGCAAUAAAUCAUUCUGUAGUAUGACCAACACAACAUUGGAAGCAGUCAACAUAUAAAACGGUCUUUCCUUUAGGAAACUCAGUGUGGGGAACAGGGAUGCACUCGUCAACCCUGCAUGGCUUGGGGUGCGUUUGAUUUGAAUGCAGGUGCUUGCACACGGAGAGUAGGAAGGCCCAUCGAGGCCCAGAGUGAACCGCUCUGAAGGAUCCAGGCCCUUUCCUGUCAAGCUGAUAUAAAUCUGUCUGUCUGUUAGCCUUCCUCUAUGCCUGUCUACGUCAGAAAAAGCCUGCCUUAUCUGCCUGUCUGUCUGUCUUCCUGUACUUUGGCCGCCCUUUCUGUUUGCUUGUUUGUCUGUCUGCCCAUAUUCAUGUCUAUGUGAAAUAUGUUGUCCACAGACCAAACAUCCCCCAUGAGAUGCCUCUGUGUGCUGCUCUUCACAAGCCAAACUUGAACAGGUGGCACCCCAUGGUUAAAUACAAUACAGCGUGGUGAGUUGCUGUCACUACUGCGUGGUGAGCGGUUGGGACAUUCUCGAUGGAGCGAAUGUCAUGUGGUUCCAGAUUGUUGAGGAAAGGCGCCUGGAGUUCAUCUGUUUCGGCUCACAGUCCUUAUACUAUUGUGUAUUUGUAUGUUUGUGUAGUGGGGACUCUGUUUGAAAGGAUAGACUCUAAGGGGUAAUUCAGCUCAACCAUUUAUAACGUUAAUGGCUUAAACAAUCUAAAUCCAUCACUCUUUAAGUUAAGUGUGUCUUCUUUGAUUCAACACGUGUCACUGUCUUGAACAAUCGAUAUGUUCAUACACAGUAGGCCUACAUGCCAAAUUGACAUAUCACCUCUCAAUAAGGUGUUGGGAGUCUGUAAGCAAGCACUCAGGCCACCAAGACACACAGGCAGCCAGGUGUGUUCCACACACAGCCAGAUGUGUCACAGCCAAAUGUGUUACACAAACAGCCAACCUACUAAAUAGAAAGCAUUUUACUCCUUGACACACCGUUGAUCAUGUUCAUUUCAGACAUAUUCCCAGGUGGCUACCCCUCUCUAAUUUGGUUUCUACACUAAUAUUUAGAGGCCUGCAGAUGUCAAACAUGAUUUUCCACCAACAUUUAAGCAUGUCAAAACAAGAUUUAAAAACUCCAUCAGCCGUAUCCCAGCACUAUUUGUAAAAACCUC